CUGGGAGGACCAUCUCCUAAGGCUAAAUACUCUCUAGUGACCGAUAGCGAACCAGUACCGUGAGGGAAAGGUGAAAAGCACCCCGGAAGGGGAGUGAAAUAGAACCUGAAACCGUGUGCUUACAAGUAGUCAGAGCCCGUUAAUGGGUGAUGGCGUGCCUUUUGUAGAAUGAACCGGCGAGUUACGAUUUGAUGCAAGGUUAAGCAGUAAAUGUGGAGCCGUAGCGAAAGCGAGUCUGAAUAGGGCGUUUAGUAUUUGGUCGUAGACCCGAAACCAGGUGAUCUACCCUUGGUCAGGUUGAAGUUCAGGUAACACUGAAUGGAGGACCGAACCGACUUACGUUGAAAAGUGAGCGGAUGAACUGAGGGUAGCGGAGAAAUUCCAAUCGAACCUGGAGAUAGCUGGUUCUCUCCGAAAUAGCUUUAGGGCUAGCCUCAAGUGAUGAUUAUUGGAGGUAGAGCACUGUUUGGACGAGGGGCCCCUCUCGGGUUACCGAAUUCAGACAAACUCCGAAUGCCAAUUAAUUUAACUUGGGAGUCAGAACAUGGGUGAUAAGGUCCGUGUUCGAAAGGGAAACAGCCCAGACCACCAGCUAAGGUCCCAAAAUAUAUGUUAAGUGGAAAAGGAUGUGGCGUUGCCCAGACAACUAGGAUGUUGGCUUAGAAGCAGCCAUCAUUUAAAGAGUGCGUAAUAGCUCACUAGUCGAGUGACACUGCGCCGAAAAUGUACCGGGGCUAAACAUAUUACCGAAGCUGUGGAUUGUCCUUUGGACAAUGGUAGGAGAGCGUUCUAAGGGCGUUGAAGCAUGAUCGUAAGGACAUGUGGAGCGCUUAGAAGUGAGAAUGCCGGUGUGAGUAGCGAAAGACGGGUGAGAAUCCCGUCCACCGAUUGACUAAGGUUUCCAGAGGAAGGCUCGUCCGCUCUGGGUUAGUCGGGUCCUAAGCUGAGGCCGACAGGCGUAGGCGAUGGAUAACAGGUUGAUAUUCCUGUACCACCUAUAAUCGUUUUAAUCGAUGGGGGGACGCAGUAGGAUAGGCGAAGCGUGCGAUUGGAUUGCACGUCUAAGCAGUAAGGCUGAGUAUUAGGCAAAUCCGGUACUCAUUAAGGCUGAGCUGUGAUGGGGAGAAGACAUUGUGUCUUCGAGUCGUUGAUUUCACACUGCCGAGAAAAGCCUCUAGAUAGAAAAUAGGUGCCCGUACCGCAAACCGACACAGGUAGUCAAGAUGAGAAUUCUAAGGUGAGCGAGCGAACUCUCGUUAAGGAACUCGGCAAAAUGACCCCGUAACUUCGGGAGAAGGGGUGCUCUUUAGGGUUAACGCCCAGAAGAGCCGCAGUGAAUAGGCCCAAGCGACUGUUUAUCAAAAACACAGGUCUCUGCUAAACCGUAAGGUGAUGUAUAGGGGCUGACGCCUGCCCGGUGCUGGAAGGUUAAGAGGAGUGGUUAGCUUCUGCGAAGCUACGAAUCGAAGCCCCAGUAAACGGCGGCCGUAACUAUAACGGUCCUAAGGUAGCGAAAUUCCUUGUCGGGUAAGUUCCGACCCGCACGAAAGGCGUAACGAUUUGGGCACUGUCUCAACGAGAGACUCGGUGAAAUCAUAGUACCUGUGAAGAUGCAGGUUACCCGCGACAGGACGGAAAGACCCCGUGGAGCUUUACUGUAGCCUGAUAUUGAAAUUCGGCACAGCUUGUACAGGAUAGGUAGGAGCCUUUGAAACGUGAGCGCUAGCUUACGUGGAGGCGCUGGUGGGAUACUACCCUAGCUGUGUUGGCUUUCUAACCCGCACCACUUAUCGUGGUGGGAGACAGUGUCAGGCGGGCAGUUUGACUGGGGCGGUCGCCUCCUAAAAGGUAACGGAGGCGCUCAAAGGUUCCCUCAGAAUGGUUGGAAAUCAUUCAUAGAGUGUAAAGGCAUAAGGGAGCUUGACUGCGAGACCUACAAGUCGAGCAGGGUCGAAAGACGGACUUAGUGAUCCGGUGGUUCCGCAUGGAAGGGCCAUCGCUCAACGGAUAAAAGCUACCCCGGGGAUAACAGGCUUAUCUCCCCCAAGAGUUCACAUCGACGGGGAGGUUUGGCACCUCGAUGUCGGCUCAUCGCAUCCUGGGGCUGUAGUCGGUCCCAAGGGUUGGGCUGUUCGCCCAUUAAAGCGGUACGCGAGCUGGGUUCAGAACGUCGUGAGACAGUUCGGUCCCUAUCCGUCGUGGGCGUAGGAAAUUUGAGAGGAGCUGUCCUUAGUACGAGAGGACCGGGAUGGACAUACCUCUGGUGUACCAGUUGUCGUGCCAACGGCAUAGCUGGGUAGCUAUGUGUGGACGGGAUAAGUGCUGAAAGCAUCUAAGCAUGAAGCCCCCCUCAAGAUGAGAUUUCCCAACUUCGGUUAUAAGAUCCCUCAAAGAUGAUGAGGUUAAUAGGUUCGAGGUGGAAGCAUGGUGACAUGUGGAGCUGACGAAUACUAA
rnacentral:rRNA from 1 species